UGAUUGCCUCAGUAGCGGCGAGUGAGCGGCAAAGCUCAAUUUGAAAUCUGGCGUCUUUGGCGUCCGAGUUGUAAUUUGAAGAAGGUAUCUUUGGGCCCGGCUCUUGUCUAUGUUCCUUGGAACAGGACGUCACAGAGGGUGAGAAUCCCGUGCGAUGAGAUGACCCGGGUCUGUGUAAAGUUCCUUCGACGAGUCGAGUUGUUUGGGAAUGCAGCUCUAAGUGGGUGGUAAAUUCCAUCUAAAGCUAAAUAUUGGCGAGAGACCGAUAGCGAACAAGUACAGUGAUGGAAAGAUGAAAAGAACUUUGAAAAGAGAGUGAAAAAGUACGUGAAAUUGUUGAAAGGGAAGGGCUUGAGAUCAGACUUGGUAUUUUGCAUGUUGCUCUCUCGGGGGCGGCCGCUGCGGUUUACCGGGCCAGCAUCGGUUUGGAGCGGCAGGAUAAUGGCGGAGGAAUGUGGCACGGCUUCUGCUGUGUGU
rnacentral:rRNA from 1 species